rnacentral:rRNA from 1 species
CGGACGGGUGAGUAAUGCUUGGGAAUCUGGCUUAUGGAGGGGGAUAACUACGGGAAACUGUAGCUAAUACCGCGUAGUAUCGGGAGAUGAAAGUGUGGGACCGCAAGGCCACAUGCCAUAAGAUGAGCCCAAGUGGGAUUAGGUAGUUGGUGGGGUAAAGGCCUACCAAGCCGACGAUCUCUAGCUGGUCUGAGAGGAUGACCAGCCACACUGGAACUGAGACACGGUCCAGACUCCUACGGGAGGCAGCAGUGGGGAAUAUUGCACAAUGGGGGGAACCCUGAUGCAGCCAUGCCGCGUGAAUGAAGAAGGCCUUCGGGUUGUAAAGUUCUUUCGGUGAUGAGGAAGGCAGUUGUUUUAAUAGAACAAUUGAUUGACGUUAGUCACAGAAGAAGCACCGGCUAACUCCGUGCCAGCAGCCGCGGUAAUACGGAGGGUGCAAGCGUUAAUCGGAAUGACUGGGCGUAAAGGGCACGCAGGCGGUGACUUAAGUGGGAUGUGAAAGCCCCGGGCUUAACCUGGGAAUUGCAUUUCAGACUGGGUCGCUAGAGUAUUUUAGGGAGGGGUAGAAUUCCACGUGUAGCGGUGAAAUGCGUAGAGAUGUGGAGGAAUACCGA